rnacentral:misc_RNA from 1 species
UUUCCGUAGGUGAACCUGCGGAAGGAUCAUUAUUGUAUAACCGAGGUGCGAGGGCCGUCGCUGACCCGAAAGGUCGUGCACGCCCGAGUGCCCUCACACACAUCCAUCUCACCCCUGUGCACCACCGCGUGGGUCCCCCUUUGGCUUGUUCGGAGGGGGGCUUACGUUUUCACACAAACUUUGUAUGCAGUGUAGAAUGUAUUUUUUGUUUUUGCGAUCACGCAAUCAAUACAACUUUCAACAACGGAUCUCUUGGCUCCC